GGACUAGAGGGCAGGCCUGUACACCAAGACGGACCUCUGAGAAUGAGUAGGCUGAUAGUCCACUACGUUAUCAAGUUCAAAGCCUAAGAAAUAUUGAACAUUUCCACACAUGAAUGUGGGUACUAUGUUUAAUUUGAGAAUGGCCAACUGUCCUCGAAGUCUCAAUCUCUUUGGAGCCUACCAGCUCCGAGAGAAGUUUGAGGAUGCUGCAAAACCCUCCCCUGCAAAUCCAUCUACUCCUCCCACUUCUAUCCUAAUGGGUAUAGUUCUUGGCUGUGCUGAGGAUCUGUAAGGCACCAGAUGUGAAAGUAAGGAAGAAAGAUGGAUGUGGAAGAAAGUCACUGCCCAGAGAAUAAGGAGACCUGGAUUCUAAUCUCAGCUCUGCCAUUAACUAGCUGUGAGACUCAAGAAUAACUAAUCAUUUUGAUAACUCGUUUUUUUACUUUUUAAAAUGAGGAGCCAAGUUUAGACAAUGAGCUCGGCUCUUCACCAGUGAUAAAGUGUCUGGGACAUGCUUCCAUUCAAGCAAUGCUCUUCCUUCUUGAUGAAACUAUGGCUCAAAAGGGAAUAAGAGAUCAAGGCAAGCAUGGACAUCUUGUACGUGGAAGUGCAGACCAGAACUUGUAUCACAGCCAGUCAUAUCUGGUGCUUUCCAUGCUACUUUUACAUACAUGUAUCCUUAAAUUUGAUCCUCUUC
ensembl:lncRNA novel transcript